rnacentral:rRNA from 1 species
AACGAACGCUGGCGGCAUGCCUAACACAUGCAAGUCGAACGAGACCUCCGGGCCUAGUUGCGCACGUCUGCGUAACGCGUGGGAACCUGCCCUUAGGUUCGCUAUCACUGCCCGAGAGGGGUGCUAAUACCGGUUAAUGUCUUCGGACCAAAGAGCUCUCGCCUUUGGAUGGGCCCGUGUUGGAUUAGCUAGUUGGUAGGGUAAAAGCCUACCAAGGCGACGUUCCAUAGCUGGUCUGGGAGGAUGAUACGCCACGCUGGAACUGAGACACGGCCCAGUACCGUACGCAAGGCAGCAGUGGGGAACAUUGGACGAGGGACGAUGGUGUAAUCAAGCAGUGCGGCGUGAGUGAUGAAGCCCGUAGGGAUGUAAAGCUGUUUUACACGGGAUGAUAAUGACAGUACCGGGAGAAUAAGCACCGGCUAACUACGUG